AACUGGAUUUCAUGGGUAUAAGCUUUCAUGUGCAUGCACACCUCUUCAGGUAUCUGAAGAAGUGUGCAUGCACACAAAAGCUUAUAUCCAGAACAAACUUAGUUGC